UAAUACUGCCUUAGACGGCUAA
rnacentral:miRNA from 1 species